UACGUAGGGUGCGAGCGUUAAUCGGAAUUACUGGGCGUAAAGUGUGCGCAGGUGGCUUCGCAAGUCGAGUGUGAAAUCCCCGGGCUUAACCUGGGAAUUGCGCUCGAAACUACGGAGCUGGAGUAUGGCAGAGGGAGGUGGAAUUCCACGUGUAGCAGUGAAAUGCGUAGAGAUGUGGAGGAACACCGAUGGCGAAGGCAGCCCCCUGGGUCAACACUGACGCUCAUGCACGAAAGCGUGGGGAGCAAACAGG
rnacentral:rRNA from 1 species